rnacentral:siRNA from 1 species
GACGAAAGGAUCUGACGUAGAAG